GAUGAAGAACGUAGCGAAAUGCGAUAAGUAGUGUGAAUUGCGGAAUUCAGUGAAUCAUCGAAUCUUUGAACGCACAUUGCGCCCCUUGGUAUCCCGAGGGGCAUGCCUGUUCGAGCGUCAUUUCACCACUCAAGCCUGGCUUGGUGUUGGGCGACGUCCCCUUUGGGGACGCGCCUCGAAACGCUCGGCGGCGUGGCACCGGCUUUAAGCGUAGCAGAAUCUUUCGCUUUGGAAGUCGGGGCCCCGUCUGCCGGAAGACCUACUCGCAAGGUUGACCUCGGAUCAGGCAGGGAUACCCGCUGAACUUAAGCAUAUCAAUAAGCGGAGGA
rnacentral:misc_RNA from 1 species